rnacentral:lncRNA from 1 species
GAGAAGUCAAGAAACACAUUGUAUUUGUUCAUACAAUCCAUUAACCAAUUUUUGAUAUAUUGAACUCAUUAAGAUUUAAGAAAAGGGAUAUUUUGAAGUAAACUGUUGACUAAUAAGAAGAGACUUUCAAUCAAUUUUCCCGGUUAUACACAAGCACAUGCAUAGACCAUUUUUGCAUAAUUACGAACUUAGAACAAUCUAUUAUAUGAAUGAUACUUCAAAAGAUAUACAAUUAACGAAGAACUUGUAUGGAUAAAUAUAUAUAUAUAUAUAUAUCCCAACAAAAAUAUUGAAACUACACGUUUCCAUGCACCGAUGCACGAGUAAGAUUAAAGUCAACCGCCAAAAUCACCACCGUAACCGCUGCCAAGACAGGCGAUGCUUUCCUUGCCAUCCUUCUUAGCUUUGUGGUAGAGAAAGUGAAUGAGCCACAAGAUGAACAAAAACAUGAGAAAUGCCCCAAACACUAUGAACAGAAUGGCCACAGGACUCAUUUGACUAACUUCUUUUUGAUUGUUAAUUUUGUUUUUCACUCCUCCGAUAAGGAAACAACAAGAUGUAUAUAUAUAGAGAGAUUGAUGACAUUUAUUAUGAAAGUCUCGUUGUCUUAAUAUUUAAGUCAUCUUGUUAACCAUUGACUUUUGUGUUAGGUUUUAUCUGAAUUUCAAACGGAAUAUUCGGAUAUUAAUGUAGUCGUUACUUUUGGCUUUUUCUUCAAGCCCAAAUGGAGAUGAAAUUUAGAAUUUUUAUUUCGAAAAGAUUAUUGAACCGAAAAUUAUGUUCGUCAGGUGUCGGAUUAAUCAUGACCCUAGUAUUUGUUUCCUGUUAAUAGAUAGAUAGCACAAUACACUCUUUGUUUUAUUUUAUGUUUUCGUAGAGAUAUUAAAUAUGUUUUCGAAAAAACAUACAUAUAGACAGUAAUCAUGAGACCAAGUCAUACCUGGAUUAGUGUAUUACAAUCAAUUAGUACAAGUCAUGUUUUU